AUCCCCACGUUUUCCUGCCAUGGAUGAUUGUACUCUGCAUUCCAAGUGGUCACAGAUAAAUCUAGUUGUAUUCUAGAAAUAGUGGCAAAACUCCAACAUUUCUCUAGUUCCAAACGAAUGCUCAGAAACCCAGUGGUCUUUCGCAUACCUAUUUCCCAGUCCCAGCAGGUAUUAGACUCCUACCUGUAUGCUUAUGAUGCUACUAUGGAUUUUUCACAGUGCUUUCCUCAGGAGUGUGUCCAUUUCGUUGCCUGGAGGUGUUUCUGUUUCGACAGGAGACACUGAGAUUGAACAUCCUUCUGUUGUCCUCACUUUAAGAGAUGAAACAGCUUUGAGAGCAUAUGUCUGAUCCCACAUCCACCGAGACACUUGAUGAUUAGCCGUUUCAUAAGAUCAACCCAGAUUUUAUUUACCAGAUUCAGAUAUCAAGUAACUUCACUGAAACUGAACCUGAACAGUUGAAGAACGCAAGCCAACAGCAUGAAUCAAGCAUAAUUAAGAGCAGAAUUUAGCCUGAAAGGUUGCAUGUAAGAUGACACGCAUUGCUGCGGCAGCACACUGAUGUCACACACACACAUAGAAGUUUUUGCUUUCUUCCUGCACCAAUGAGAAGAUCCUUGAGUUGUGAAAAAGAAAGCAAUCAUUCAGGAGCAAAUAUUGAAAUCAGUGAUGGAACAGUGUGGAGAAGACACAGUGUUACUGAGCAAGUAGAUUGCAGUUCAUGUUACUGGUGCUUUUUGAACCUUUGCUCCUGUACUAAGCUCUUUCUUCAAGAAAAGUAACAUGAAAGACAAAGC